CCUACGGGAGGCAGCAGUAGGGAAUCUUCCACAAUGGGCGCAAGCCUGAUGGAGCAACACCGCGUGAGUGAAGAAGGGUUUCGGCUCGUAAAGCUCUGUUGUUGGAGAAGAACGUGCGUGAGAGUAACUGUUCACGCAGUGACGGUAUCCAACCAGAAAGUCACGGCUAACUACGUGCCAGCAGCCGCGGUAAUACGUAGGUGGCAAGCGUUAUCCGGAUUUAUUGGGCGUAAAGCGAGCGCAGGCGGUUGCUUAGGUCUGAUGUGAAAGCCUUCGGCUUAACCGAAGAAGUGCAGCGGAAACCGGGCAACUUGAGUGCAGAAGAGGACAGUGGAACUCCAUGGGUAGCGGUGGAAUGCGUAGAUAUAUGGAAGAACACCAGUGGCGAAGGCGGCUGUCUGGUCUGCAACUGACGCUGAGGCUCGAAAGCAUGGGUAGCGAACAGGAUUAGAUACCCGGGUAGUC
rnacentral:rRNA from 1 species